AGCAGUAGCCGCGGUAAUACGUAGGUGGCAAGCGUUGUCCGGAAUUAUUGGGCGUAAAGCGUGCGCAGGCGGUUGUGUAAGACAGGUGUGAAAUCCCCGGGCUUAACCUGGGAACUGCGCUCGUGACUGCACAGCUAGAGUAUGGCAGAGGGGGGUGGAAUUCCACGUGAAGCAGUGAAAUGCGUAGAGAUGUGGAGGAACACCGAUGGCGAAGGCAGCCCCCUGGGCCAAUACUGACGCUCAUGCACGAAAGCGUGGGGAGCAAACAGGAUUAGAUACCCCCGUAGUCCCUGUCUCUUAUAC
rnacentral:rRNA from 1 species